CUAUACCAGGCUUUGUCAGCGUUGGGUACUAGGACACUAAUAUAUGUGCCGUCUAAUGCUCCGAGACACCCCUAAAAAGUGGAGAAGCACACAUAUAUCAGCAGAUACUUCAUUGUACAGAUGGCAGCACAAGCAAAGUACGUAUUACUUUUUGAAUUUCUUGAACAGAUGACAGAACAAGCUAUGUAUUUAUAUUCGUACCUUAAACCACUUCCAUCUCGAGUCACUAUCUCCUUCGAGAACAGGUUCUGGCUUGACCAAUAGAAUUACGUGGAGCUUCAAAAUGGCUUUCAAAACAACAUGCACAUAAUGCGAUAUUGUUUGCCCGAAUCUCCAGAAAUUGAAUCGGACAACCAUAUUCUUUUUAUGGUGAGCUAAAAUUGACAA
rnacentral:lncRNA from 1 species